UACGUAGGGGGCGAGCGUUGUCCGGAUUUAUUGGGCGUAAAGAGCUCGUAGGCGGUUUGGCAAGUCGGGUGUGAAAACUCCGGGCUCAACUCGGAGACGCCACUCGAUACUGCUAUGACUCGAGUCCGGUAGGGGAGUGCGGAAUUCCUGGUGUAGCGGUGAAAUGCGCAGAUAUGCGGAGGAACACCGAUGGCGAAGGCAAUCCCCUGGGCCUGCACUGACGCUCAUGCACGAAAGCGUGGGGAGCAAACAGG
rnacentral:rRNA from 1 species